UGCUUGCAUGCUUCUUGGGCAGAAAAGGCUGUUGAGGAGUCAUCCUUAGCCUCUGAAGGUGAUGGUGGAGCCACGGCCUCAGAGCAUGCAAUUAAUCGUAUUAGGUGGAUCUCAACAGGUUCAGCCAAACCUUUUGGGUGUGAUGAGCACAGUAGGAGAUCAUCAAGUUCCAGAAUCAAGUUGCUGGAGUCUUCUUUCUUUCUUUUUUUUAAUGACUGCUUUUCAGUAUUGCAUAAGGAAGCCCCGACCUAGUUUCCUUCAUGAGACAUCUCUGGAUUGGGGCCUGGAUGCGAUUCGCCUCCUGAAAUUCCACACACUGCACAACGAGCACAGCAGAGGUUUAAUUACACCUCUUACAAAUGUUAUAAUAGCAAGUUGCUUAGGUGCUGAUCCACUUCUUUCUUGGCAUGUUUCCAGAAAGAAUCUGGGGUUUGUGAUCUUAUCCAGAGUUUGGAAAGGUUACUUUUUUGAACUACAUCAGCCCAAUCCAGUGGCCAUGCUGGCUGGGGCUGAUGGGAGUUGUAGUUCAAAAAAAGUAACUUUUCCAAGCUCUCGUCUUAUUCUUAAAAGUUCUGAUAGCAACUUGCUUGGAUACUUAUUUCUUUCAUGUCUAAAAUGAGCACGUUCUGAGAAUGAAUCUAGUCUCAUAUAAAUGUCUGAUAGUGACUUGCUUGGAUGCCUCUUCCAUGUCUAAAAUAAAUAGUUUUUGAGAAUGAA